GGGGGUGGGUCACCCCAUGGACUCCCCUUAUAUUUCAUUUGAUUAGUUAUAUAUAUAUAGUCCCAUACAUGAAUGUAUAUGGUUGAGAGGUGGGGAUCUCAUCCGUUUCAAAGUUAUCAAACAGGAGGGGGUAGAGUGGCCCAAAGGACGCCACCUAUAUAUCAUAUGAUUUGCCUACAUUCAGGUAGUUAUUUGUGAAAAUAAAGUAAGAAUCUUCCAGCUACUUUAACUGACCCUUCAAAAUUGAGAAAAAAAAAAUACCCCUUCAAAAUUGCAGUAAUAUGUUUACACUUUAAAAGCAUCUUACAUGCAUUAUCAACAUUUAUCACUGAUAAAGAAAAUUUAUACUGUGACCAGGAACAUAUAUAUUGUUAGAUAUACUGUUCCCAGCUGUCACAUUGUAUUGGAUUUUGACAUUAAAAUUUGUCAAAAGUAAUUUUGAGUUUCUGUUUAAAAUAUUUUCUGCUUUUUCUUUCUUUUACAUAUAUCUUUUGGUUUUCAAUUCUAGUGUUUAUAUUCAUUUACCAUGCAUAGAUGUAUUUUGUCACCUGCCUGGAUUCGCCAAAAACCCGGAAUUACCCUUAUCCGCUUCCGGAAUCGGAUCCGAAAUUGUAAUUGUCUUUUCACGGCAGCCAUUGUCAUUGUGUUCCAAUGUUGUUUUUGUCAGUCAGAUACGAUUUUACUCGUAUUAACACAUUUUUUUGUCGGCGAUUUUCUGUAUAUAGCUAGCGAUUGAACAAAAUUGACAUCGCUGUCAUGAAUAAU
rnacentral:lncRNA from 1 species